rnacentral:lncRNA from 1 species
CAGUUCCGGGAUUGCGUUCCGGGGCACAAGGUGUUAAACUGUGGGUGGGAGUGGGGUCCGGAGUCCCUCCUCCUUCCCUCCCUCACAGCGUCACCACCACCGAGUCCACCAGGCUGGCACUCAAGGAGUUAAGUCUGCCCGCAAUCUGCAAGACUGGAGCCCCAGCUUUGUGUCCCCAGGAGGGUGGGCUGCAGGAUUUCCAGCCAAGCCUUGCUGCCUGCUCAGUUUUUCCAAACCCUCCAGUCGGGGAAGGCGUGGCAGGUGCCAGGCCCUGGGGCAGGCUUCGAGGAGGGGGCAAAGUGUUCCGAGCGCUGGCACGGUUCUGUCCAGCAAGUCUAUUAUAUAAUCACCAUCUAUCAGGAAGCCAGGCAGCUGGAGUGAGUGGGGAAGCCAGGAUGCCCGGAUCGGCUCUUCCUCCAGGGCCCAGGACGGUGUCGCCACCAA